UGAUAGAUAUAUUUCAGCUGGAAGGUAAUUUCUAUACUUAUGUUUGGCAACUGCAAACCCCGAGCAGAGACAAAUCCAGAAUUUUUAAGUACUCCCUCCCUAUCAAAGCAUAUGUAGGAUAUACCAAAAUGUCUUCUAAUCUUCUGGUGUCAAACAUGCUAUGUGGAAAGUUAAAUUCAAAGAGUAGUCAAAAAUGAAGAAAGACAUUCUUUCUAACCGGACUAAAAAGGAUAGUAAGGCAAACAAAUUGAAAUAGAGGUAGUAUGUGAG
rnacentral:misc_RNA from 1 species